GGGUCAGUAGGUUGGUCGUGCCACCGGUACGUACUGGUCUCACUGAUUCCUCCUUCCUGAAGAACCGUAAUGCCAUUAAUUUGGUGUUGCGGGGAAACAGGACUGUUACUUUGAAAAAAUUAGAGUGUUUAAUUCAAGCUAACGCUUGAAUACAUUAGCAUGGAAUAAUGAAAUAGGACGAUCGAUCCUAUUUUGUUGGUUUCUAGGAUUGACGUA
rnacentral:rRNA from 1 species